rnacentral:rRNA from 1 species
GGGACCUGCGGAGGGAUCAUUACCGAGUUUACAACUCCCAAACCCAAUGUGAACGUUACCAAACUGUUGCCUCGGCGGGAUCUCUGCCCCGGGUGCGUCGCAGCCCCGGACCAAGGCGCCCGCCGGAGGACCAACCAAAACUCUUAUUGUAUACCCCCUCGCGGGUUUUUUUUAUAAUCUGAGCCUUCUCGGCGCCUCUCGUAGGCGUUUCGAAAAUGAAUCAAAACUUUCAACAACGGAUCUCUUGGUUCUGGCAUCGAUGAAGAACGCAGCGAAAUGCGAUAAGUAAUGUGAAUUGCAGAAUUCAGUGAAUCAUCGAAUCUUUGAACGCACAUUGCGCCCGCCAGUAUUCUGGCGGGCAUGCCUGUCCGAGCGUCAUUUCAACCCUCGAACCCCUCCGGGGGGUCGGCGUUGGGGAUCGGCCCUGCCUUGGCGGUGGCCGUCUCCGAAAUACAGUGGCGGUCUCGCCGCAGCCUCUCCUGCGCAGUAGUUUGCACACUCGCAUCGGGAGCGCGGCGCGUCCACAGCCGUUAAACACCCAACUUCUGAAAUGUUGACCUCGGAUCAGGUAGGAAUCC